GUGGAAUUUUGUUUUGAAAAUUGUUCAAUCAAUUUUUUUAAUGCAAAAUUCUACAUUAAAGUACGAUCAGAGUACUUAUUAGUUUUAGCAUGGCUCCAAAUCCAAUAAUUAUUUUUUUUAGGAAAACAGUUUUUAGGGGCAUAUGGCUUCAACGUUUAUUAUUUCUUUUGCUUCAGUCCUCUAUUUAGAGGGUUUUAAGUGCGAGAAAUACUUAGUUAGGCACAAACACUAAAUAUUACAUGUUAGGCACACACGUAAAACUAAAAAAAUUAACAAGAAAAGGAUUGAAGUGGUAUCAAUUGAUGUGUUUGUGUUUAAAUUUUGUGUCAAUGCUUGUGUUUAU
rnacentral:lncRNA from 1 species